GCGCUUGUAGCUCAAUUGGAUAGAGCGCCUGACUUCGGAUCAGGAGGUUGAGGGUUCAAGUCCUUCCGGGCGCACCA
rnacentral:tRNA from 1 species